CGCUAUCACUCCUACGGGGAGGCAGCAGUGAGGAAUAUUGGUCAAUGGUCGCAAGACUGAACCAGCCAUGCCGCGUGCAGGAAGACGGUCCUAUGGAUUGUAAACUGCUUUUAUACAGGAAGAAACCCUCCCACGUGUGGGAGCUUGACGGUACUGUAGGAAUAAGGAUCGGCUAACUCCGUGCCAGCAGCCGCGGUAAUACGGAGGAUCCAAGCGUUAUCCGGAAUCAUUGGGUUUAAAGGGUCCGUAGGCGGCCUUAUAAGUCAGUGGUGAAAGCCCAUCGCUCAACGAUGGAACUGCCAUUGAUACUGUAAGGCUUGAAUUAUUGUGAAGUAACUAGAAUAUGUAGUGUAGCGGUGAAAAUGCUUAGAUAUUACAUGGAAUACCAAUUGCGAAGGCAGGUUACUAACAAUGGAUUGACGCUGAUGGACGAAAGCGUGGGGAGCGAACAGGAUUAGAUACCCUGGUAG
rnacentral:rRNA from 1 species